rnacentral:rRNA from 1 species
AGAGUUUGAUCCUGGCUCAGGACGAACGCUGGCGGCGCGCCUAACACAUGCAAGUCGAACGGAGUCAAGAGGAGCUUGCUUUUCUUGACUUAGUGGCGAACGGGUGAGUAACGCGUGAGUAACCUGCCCUGGAGUGGGGGACAACAGUUGGAAACGACUGCUAAUACCGCAUAAGCCCACGGCCCGGCAUCGGGCUGAGGGAAAAGGAUUUAUUCGCUUCAGGAUGGACUCGCGUCCAAUUAGCUAGUUGGUGAGGUAACGGCCCACCAAGGCGACGAUUGGUAGCCGGACUGAGAGGUUGAACGGCCACAUUGGGACUGAGACACGGCCCAGACUCCUACGGGAGGCAGCAGUGGGGGAUAUUGCACAAUGGGGGAAACCCUGAUGCAGCGACGCCGCGUGGAGGAAGAAGGUCUUCGGAUUGUAAACUCCUGUUGUUGAGGAAGAUAAUGACGGUACUCAACAAGGAAGUGACGGCUAACUACGUGCCAGCAGCCGCGGUAAAACGUAGGUCACAAGCGUUGUCCGGAAUUACUGGGUGUAAAGGGAGCGCAGGCGGGAAGACAAGUUGGAAGUGAAAUCUAUGGGCUCAACCCAUAAACUGCUUUCAAAACUGUUUUUCUUGAGUAGUGCAGAGGUAGGCGGAAUUCCCGGUGUAGCGGUGGAAUGCGUAGAUAUCGGGAGGAACACCAGUGGCGAAGGCGACCUACUGGGCACCAACUGACGCUGAGGCUCGAAAGCGUGGGUAGCAAACAGGAUUAGAUACCCUGGUAGUCCACGCCGUAAACGAUGAUUACUAGGUGUGGGGGGACUGACCCCUUCCGUGCCGGAGUUAACACAAUAAGUAAUCCACCUGGGGAGUACGACCGCAAGGU